rnacentral:RNase_P_RNA from 1 species
ACCGCAGACCGCCUUAUCGUUUUAUGCUGAACUUGUUUCAGCAUCUUGUGUUUUUAAGUAUAAAUUCAUAAGAUUCCGAAUCAAGUUCGGAAUAAAGAGGAAAGUCCGGACACCACAGAGUAGCAUAGCGGGUAACGCCCGUCGGUCUCGUCUUUUGGGACGAGGUUAGGACAAGUGCAACAGAAAGUAUGUACAGGUAAUGCUGUAGUGAAACCAGGUAAACUCUAUGCGGUGAAAUUUCAAGUAUAUCGGCAUUUAAGGAUUACUCGUCCGUUGCCGAAGGGUAGAAAGAUUGAUCUCGUUGGUAACAACUAGACUAGAUAAAUGAUAAGGUAUCGUCUUGUUUUUCGGAACUUGAUGAGAACAGAAUCCGGCUUAUAGGUCUGCUUUUUUA